rnacentral:rRNA from 1 species
GUCUCGGGCCAUACCACCCUGAACGCACCCGAUCUCAUCUGAUCUCAGCAGCUAAGCAGGGUCAGGCCUGAUUCGUACUUAGAUGGGAGACGUUUGAUGAAAAUGGACAAACCCCCUGUUGGGAGCUGUGGAGGGGCU